rnacentral:rRNA from 1 species
UUUAUGGAGAGUUUGAUCCUGGCUCAGGACGAACGCUGGCGGCGUGCCUAAUACAUGCAAGUCGAGCGGACAG